UACAUACUGGCAAUGUAAGAAAAGAGUAACAAAUUAAGUAUGACAGAAUUUAUUUAUACAAAUUUGAAUCGAGUUCACAUGAUGCGAAUUUGCAAAGGUUGAGUGUGCCUAAAUAUCGCCGACUUAUCCAUUAGAUUUUAUUAAUGUUAUUUCGUUCACGUAUGUUGCUGUAAUAACGACAAAACAAGAGCCAAAAAUUAUUAGACCAACCUAAGGUUUGAAAAUUAAUAGGCGGAAGAAGUAGGAGAGGCUGAUAAUAAGUUAAAAUAAGAUAUAACUUCGUAUAAGACCAAUAAACUGAAUAAAAUUAAGUAGAGAUAGAAAGAUAAAUACAUAUAAUGUACAUGCAUGUGUAUAAAUUGAGUAGAUUCUUCACGCAUUGUUUUUCUCUCUAAACCUUUCUCACCAACACUAUCUCUUUCUUGUCACAGCAGUUCAAUCUCAAGAACGAAAAGAAGAAGAAAAUGUCGGGUUCGUCGGAAUGGAGUAGUGGAAGCGAGUCAGGAUGGACUCUGUACUUAGACCAUUCUGUUUCUUCUUCUCCAAGCCCUUCUUGUUUACGAGACUCCAAUGGGUUUGAUAACAGAAGAAGAAGCAAAGACUCAUGGAGCCAAAAUUAUGUGCAUCAAGAAGAGGAGGAAGAUUUGUCAAUGAUUUCAGAUGCAUCUUCUGGUCCAAGGAAUAUUUGUGAGGAAGGUUCUGUCAAAAUCUUAAACAAUGUUGGUCCUAAGAUACAGAGCAAGAGAGAAAACAAAAGAAUAGAUUAUGAGAAAAUGAACUCUCUGCUUGAUGACACUGCUAGUUCUCAUAUGUUGCAGAAAAGUAGUGUGGGUGGUAAUAAGAUAGAGCAAACCUUUCCAGAAAGUACAUUGGAUUAUUCACAAGGCUUCUCAGCAACUCACUUUCAGUAGGACAAAACAGCAUUCCAAGAUCAGUAUGGUUAUUUGCAUACGGAAAUUCUAAACAACCAGUUAGCUUUUAUGGAUUCAAGUAAUGAUUAAAGUGAAUCUUAUAUUCCUUACGAAAGAAGUGCUAUAAAAGAAACCCACAAGUGAAGGGAUCGGAUCGACUAAAGAUAGGCUCUCAAAUCUCCAAUGGAUCUGAAUCUUUUAUCUUGUGAUUUGUAAUUUCGUCACAAACGAGUUUUUUUCUCUUCCAGUUGCAAUUUUCUGUCAGUGUAAUGUAGCAGUAUUUUCCCUC